GGGAAACAGACAUCAGUUCUGACUGCAUCUGUAGGAAUCACAGUGGUUGUACUGGUUCUCAUCCUCUGUCUCUCUGGAUUCAUCUAGUUCAGAGGGAAGAAAGACUCCAAAUCCACCUCCUCUGACAACAGAAACAUCAGAGACACAGAAGACAAUGGACAGAGUGUCCGUCCUGAACCUGACAGUGACACGUACACAGUUCUGAAUAUGAGGAACAGGUCCCCUGAAUACGACACUCUAGAAAGUGUCCAUCCUGAUACUAACAGUGACAUGUACUCAUCUCUGAACAUGAAGACCAGGUCACCUGACUAUGAUACUCUGGUAGUAAGUAUUGUCACUGGCU